GGGUAUUUGGUCGAGCUGGUCUAUGGCACUCGUCUUGAAAACGAGAACUUCUAACAAGGAGUCGUGAGUUCGAAUCUCACAGUGCCCG